UUUAGACAAGAGAAGGUGGCGGCGAUAAGACGUGAGACAUACUGUAUGUACAGUGAGACAAAACGAUGACCGCAUCUGCAUCGAAGCUCUCAGAGCUGAUAGAUUAUAUCUGCGUCCUUUUUGUGCAAUACAGUACAGAAUACAUCCUGUAUCCAACUAAUGCAGGGUAUAUUCAAGUAUCCAACACACUGGUUGUGAAGAACCCUUUCCAGAGAAAUAUAAAAGGAAAUGACUGUGUAAGUUAC